UGGGGAAUAUUGGACAAUGGGGGCAACCCUGAUCCAGCAAUGCCGCGUGUGUGAAGAAGGCCUUCGGGUUGUAAAGCACUUUCGGUGGGGACAAACAAGGCGGAGCUAACAUCUCCGUCCCUGAUGGUACCCAAAGAAGAAGCACCGGCUAACUCUGUGCCAGCAGCCGCGGUAAUACAGAGGGUGCGAGCGUUAAUCGGAAUUACUGGGCGUAAAGCGUGCGUAGGUGGUUUGUUAAGUCAGGUGUGAAAUCCCGGGGCUCAACCUCGAAAUGGCGCUUGAUACUGGCAGACUCGAGUGUGGUAGAGGAUAGUGGAAUUCCCGGUGUAGCGGUGAAAUGCGUAGAUAUCGGGAGGAACAUCAGUGGCGAAGGCGGCUAUCUGGACCAACACUGACACUGAGGUACGAAAGCGUGGGUAGCAAACAGGAUUAGAUACCCUGGUAGUCCACGCCCUAAACGAUGGGUACUAGACGUCGGGAAGCUUGUCUUCUUGGUGUCGCAGCUAACGCAAUAAGUACCCCGCCUGGGGAGUACGGUCGCAAGAUUA
rnacentral:rRNA from 1 species